rnacentral:rRNA from 1 species
GACGAACGCUGGCGGCGUGCUUAACACAUGCAAGUCGAACGGAAAGGCCCUGCUUUUGUGGGUUGCUCGAGUGGCGAACGGGUGAGUAACACGUGAGUAACCUGCCCUUGACUUUGGGAUAACUUCAGGAAACUGGGGCUAAUACCGGAUAGGAGCUCCUGCUGCAUGGUGGGGGUUGGAAAGUUUCGGCGGUUGGGGAUGGACUCGCGGCUUAUCAGCUUGUUGGGGGGGUAGUGGCUUACCAAGGCUUUGACGGGUAGCCGGCCUGAGAGGGUGACCGGCCACCUUGGGACUGAGAUACGGCCCAGACUCCUACGGGAGGCAGCAGUGGGGAAUAUUGCACAAUGGGCGGAAGCCUGAUGCAGCAACGCCGCGUGCGGGAUGACGGCCUUCGGGUUGUAAACCGCUUUCGACUGUGACGAAGCGUGAGUGACGGUAAUGGGUAAAGAAGCACCGGCUAACUACGUG